CCAUUAUUCAAUAUUUCCGGGUCACGGUAGUCCCAAAGAAAGUUCAAAAAACUAGCAAAUGCUGCCUCUGCCGGCCGGCCCCGUGCGCACGCCCUGUGACUUACAGUCCCAAAAAUAAUUUGAUUAUGGUAUGUUGUUUUUAAACAAUGAAGCCAGCUUAUUAUUUUAAAAACGUUACAAAAUAAAACAAAAUUGUAUUCAAUAAUAUAAUCUAAUCGACUUGCUUAUUUUAAGCUAUAUUUGUAAAUUAAUAUGUUUCAACAUAAUGCUUUUUUUAUUCACAAUUAUAAAACAUGUUCUUAUCAGACUACCGAUGUAGACCGAUCGGUAUAUAAUAUAUCCGAAUAUGAGAUGUGCUAAUAAAAAUUCGAAAAUUUGAUGAACAAUAGUUUGGCUUAUUUGAUUACUUCCCAAUUUAAAAUUCUAAAAUACACCAUGCAUGUUUAACACCAUAUAAACCAAAAUGACGGAAAAAUUAUU